rnacentral:lncRNA from 10 species
GGAGGAACUCAGGCGGAGGAAAGAGCCGGAACACAAACACAGCGCGACCUUUCCCGGGAAGCAGCCCCUCCAGGAAUGCGCCCCGGGCCCCCCUGCAGCGCCCUGGGCCCCCAUGGCCAGGGGCAGAUCCCCUCACUUCCACCAUCCGUGACUCGGUUCAGUCCAGUUGAGCCCCAAAAGCCUCUGCUGAGCCCAGCCCGGAAGGGCGAGGGAGCCUCGGUGGCCAGAGAGGGCCGAGGCCUGUCAGGCUGACGGCUCCUUCGGGACAGGCACCCAUCUGUGACGGGGACAUGCAGGGACCACUGUGGCUGCCCUGGCCCAAGAUGCCCCAGAAGCCAGAGAGAGGACUUCUGACCUGACAAAGGAGCGCAGAGCUGGCCGGGGCAUUCGUGCGUGUUCACGACCGAGAACUUUUCACAGAGAGAGGACUUCUGUCCUGAUAGACGUCGGUGAGGACUGAAUCCCCACUUACAGGCGUGCACAUCAGGGACUGAUGGACAUCGCUGAGGACCGAUCCCAGCUUACAGGCGUGCACACUGGAGGCUCGGAAGAGCUGACUGUGACUCACUUCCGGCUUCCCCCCAGGACAAAACCUGCCUCUCCUUCCAGACUCGCUGACUUCCCUUCAUGUCCCGCUGUGAUGUGCAGUCCAGCAUCCUUGGGUCAUGACACCAGCUGCACUGGCACAGGGAAUGAGAGAAUAUUCCUGAAAAUGAAGACUACCGCGGAAGGCAGGAGCUUCUAAGCUAGAGUGACUGGCAGCUUCAACAGGCCCUGCUGCACCUGAACCAGCCCGGGGCCCCCCAGUGCCGCGGAAAGAGACAGCUGUGGCAGAUUUCACAAACUCAUGCCCAGGGGAGCUCCCGGCUUGCUCAUGGCAAGGACCACACAGGGGCAUCUUAGGGUCCGCGGGAGGCAGCGGAACUGUGGAGUCCCAGGGCACAUUGUCUCCAGCUUCGCCAGCUGGGCCAUUGCUCUCCAACGCCAGCACCCAUGGGUACUUCCUGAUGCACCUCAUCCUACCCACGUUACUGUCAGAGUGAGGAAUGCGCUCAGCCUCAGGCCCUGAGAUUGUCCUCUCCUUACUCAGCUUCUCUUUCUGUCCUUGCAGCAUCCGGUUCGCCUCUUCCCCCAACUGCCUUUUCGCAUCCUCUGCCUUCUCUUCCCUGCAGUUGUCUGUGUCUACAUCAUUGGCAGGAGUUCCUCGUGCACUCUGCAUGCUGAAACCGUGCAGAUGGACACAUGGCAGGGCUUUCCCUCCCGUCUGGCUUGCCUCCUGCCUCUGUUAAAGACAUGACGUGACUCUUCAGCAGCUUUUGAACUUGCCUCUAGGUCACAAAGGGAUUGUCUCAUCGUUUCUACUACAUAUUUUUAAAGUUUUGCUUUUCAUAUGAAUCCUUUUAAUCUGUCCGGAAUCAACUGUGUGCCGUGUGAGGUAGGAAAAUAAAUGGAUAUGUCCUUUUCGU